rnacentral:rRNA from 1 species
AAUCCCGAAGCUGGAAGAGUUAGCAAGUAGAUGGUUGGCGUGGUAGAGCCAUCAAUAAUUCUAGUUAGAGGCGAUAUACCAUUCAGUUCUAGUAUAUCUGGUUAAGCCGUUUAAAAUUUAAUUUUUUACUAGAUAGUUGCAAUCUAAAAGAGUAAAGUAGAAGGGUAAGCUUUUUAUGGUCGGGUAAUUUUCGAAUUAAUUACUUAAGAUUUAACAAUUUUUCCUGAAUAAAGAUAAAAUAUUGCGGAUCCGAUUUUAGGUUUAACUUUUAAUUUUUAUACAUAGAAGAUAAUAAAUAUAUUAGUAAUAAAUUAUUUAUUAAAUAUAUAAAGUUAAUAUAAUUUUUAUUUUACAGCGGGUAAUAAUAGAACUCGGCAAAACUAGUUUCGCAUGUUUAACAAAAACAUCUCCUGAAAGUUUUCAGGUAAUCCCUGCCCUAUGAAUAGUUUAAAUGGCCGCAGUACUUUGACUGUGCAAAGGUAGCAUAAUCACUUGUUCCUUAAUUAGGAGCUGGAAUGAAAGGGGCGACGAGAUCUGGGCUGUUGGCGAUAAUAUGUAAUUUAACAUAAAGGUCAAAAGGCCUUUAUAGAUCAAAGGGACGAUAAGACCCUAUAAAACUUUACUUUUAAUAGGACCUUAUUAGGUUGGGAAAAUAUAUAAGGUUAAACUGGGGCGGUACUAAUAAAAACAAUUAAAUAUAGAAUAUUUUAAAUAACUUUUAAGAACUCUUUAAAGAAAUAGAACAAGUUACUUUAGGGAUAACAGCAUAAUUCUCCCAGAGAGUACUAAUUGGCGGGAGAGCUUAUGACCUCGAUGUUGAAUUGGGGACCCUUGUGUAAGCAGAGAUAUAUAGAGGCAGUCUGUUCGACUGUUAAAUUCCCACAUGAUUUGAGUUCAGACCGGCGUGAGCCAGGUUGGUUUCUAUCUUUUGGUAGGUAGGGGCUCGGAAUUGUACGAAAGGACCUUCCGA